UGUCAGCAUGUAAGGGACAAGUAGGA
rnacentral:piRNA from 1 species